ACGCUGGCGGCGUGCCUAAUACAUGCAAGUAGAACGCUGAAGGAGGAGCUUGCUUCUCUGGAUGAGUUGCGAACGGGUGAGUAACGCGUAGGUAACCUGCCUGGUAGCGGGGGAUAACUAUUGGAAACGAUAGCUAAUACCGCAUAAUAGCAGUUGUUGCAUGACAACUGUUUGAAAGGUGCAAUUGCGCCACUACCAGAUGGACCUGCGUUGUAUUAGCUAGUUGGUGGGGUAACGGCUCACCAAGGCGACGAUACAUAGCCGACCUGAGAGGGUGAUCGGCCACACUGGGACUGAGACACGGCCCAGACUCCUACGGGAGGCAGCAGUAGAGAAUCUUCGGCAAUGGACGGAAGUCUGACCGAGCAACGCCGCGUGAGUGAAGAAGGUUUUCGGAUCGUAAAGCUCUGUUGUAAGAGAAGAACGAGUGUGAGAGUGGAAAGUUCACACUGUGACGGUAUCUUACCAGAAAGGGACGGCUAACUACGUGCCAGCAGCCGCGGUAAUACGUAGGUCCCGAGCGUUGUCCGGAUUUAUUGGGCGUAAAGCGAGUGCAGGCGGUUAGAUAAGUCUGAAGUUAAAGGCUGUGGCUUAACCAUAGUACGCUUUGGAAACUGUUUAACUUGAGUGCAAGAGGGGAGAGUGGAAUUCCAUGUGUAGCGGUGAAAUGCGUAGAUAUAUGGAGGAACACCGGUGGCGAAAGCGGCUCUCUGGCUUGUAACUGACGCUGAGGCUCGAAAGCGUGUGGAGCAAACAGGAUUAGAUACCCUGGUAGUCCACGCCGUAAACGAUGAGUGCUAGGUGUUAGACCCUUUCCGGGGUUUAGUGCCGUAGCUAACGCAUUAAGCACUCCGCCUGGGGAGUACGACCGCAAGGUUGAAACUCAAAGGAAUUGACGGGGGCCCGCAC
rnacentral:rRNA from 1 species